rnacentral:rRNA from 1 species
UACGAAGGGUGCAAGAGUUAAUCGGAAUGACUGGGCGUAAAGGGUGCGUAGGCGGUUGUUUAAGUCUGUCGUGAAAUCCCCGGGCUCAACCUGGGAAUGGCGAUGGAUACUGGGCAGCUAGAGUGUGUCAGAGGAUGGUGGAAUUCCCGGUGUAGCGGUGAAAUGCGUAGAGAUCGGGAGGAACAUCAGUGGCGAAGGCGGCCAUCUGGGACAACACUGACGCUGAAGCACGAAAGCGUGGGGAGCAAACAGG